CCAAAACCUGUAAAUAUGUCACCUUACAUGGCAAAAGGGACUUUGUAGAUGUGAUUGAGAAUCUUUUUUUCUUUUUUAGUAUUUUUUUUUGAGAGAGAACUCUUCUGUGUUGUUCAGGCUGAAGUCCAGUGGUGCAAUCAUGGCUCACUGCAGCCUCAACCUCCGGGCUCAAGCGAUCCUCCCACUGGGACUACAGGGGCAGAGGUUUUUGGCACCGUUUGUAUCUCCAGUGUCCUGAUUCACUUCUGUGAAGAGCAAAGGCAACUGAUGGAUCAAUGCUUGGAGCAAAAUGCAGAGAAUCACUUCUUUGGAAGUGAUUAGCAUCUGACAUUCUAAAAAUGGAUGAGCAGAGGGAUUAGCCUUUAUGCAACUGGGACCCUGAAAAGCAAGUAUUAGGUUGGUGCAAAAGUAAUUGUAGUUUUACCAUUAAUUUCAAUGGCAAAACUGCAGAUGCUUUUGCACCAACCUAUAUAUACAUGAGCAUACAUAGACAUUGAGGAAUGUAUAUCACUACACAAAGCCACCAACAGCCAUGUUUGUUGGAGGAAGGAUCGCCAAGGAUCUUUUCUGUGUCCUCUUGGGAGAUACAGGAGUGGUAGAAACAGGCCCCUACAUGGUGAACACACUUAACCGGUGGCAUUCUGACCCUCUCACUGCCCUACCAUGGCUUUCAGGCUAAUUUAUUGAUUCUCAGUGCCUCAAUUUUCUAUUUUAGUGACAGAAACAGUAUUGUUUAUGUGCUAAACUGACUCCCUAUUUACUAGCCCCGUGAUUUUGAACAAUUUGCUUUAUUUUUCUGUGUCUCAUUUUCUCAUCUGUAAAAUGUAGCUGCCAUGACACUGAUCCAACAUGGUUAUGAUAAGGAUUUAAUGAACUAAGAUGGGUAAAGCUCAUGAAUGCUGCCUGGUAUAUAGCAAGGGCUCAAUAAAUAUCUUCAGUUAUAGGACAAUUGUACAUACAUACAUACAUAUAUAUAUACACAUAUAUAGAUAUGUGUGUGUGUGUACCUAUAUAUUUUUCUCAAAUGUGACAGAACUGCUUGGUUGUCCUUUUCCAUGUAACAAACAUAGUAAUAUAAAUAAAGUAAUAGUUGGGAAAAAACAAUCUUACAAUAGUCCCAUAAAGUACUGAGCCACAGAGAAGUUAAAUAUAAUGCCCAUGUUUAUAGAAUUCGGAAUGAUUGCACAGAUUACACAAUACUUCUUUAUUUUCCUGUCCAGAUCUGAUAGCUUUAGGUGAAGUGGGGAGAAUGAGUCAUAACUGGCAGGUAUCGGAGGGGGGCUAAUAUCUCUGGCUGCUUUGCCUUAAACACAUGAUUUAUUCCACCCAGCAGUGGCUGAGCUGAGCCUUGAAAACAAGUUUGCCUGGUUAUAUCCAUGCUCACUCUGCUGCUCAGCCUUCUUAGUGCCACAUACGGUCAGGAACCCUCCCUCAACAGUGAGAUGUUUGUGGGUUUGCUGGUUGACACUGGAAAGGAGAGUGUGGUGACAAAAUGAGCUAAGGUGAGAGCAGGGUGUUUCAAAAGCAAAUACUGCCUUCUUUACAAGCUUGCCAACUCUCAGAGGAAAGACUGUGAUUCUGUCUUUGUGGACCAUGGAAGUUCCCUGCACCUUUGUCUAUUACAGGACUGUCUUGUCUUACUUAUCUGAAUGCCCCUAGUGCCCAGCCCAGAGCCUGGUGAAUGGUCAGUGUUCCAUAACUGUUGAAUGGCACUAGAUACCAACCAUCUUAGCCCUGGAAAGAGCUUGAGUGAUCUAAGUUGGAGGGAAGCUCAGAAAUAAUAACACCUGAACUCCUGCUGGAUACAGGAAUCUCCUCGCAUUAUAAAUCAAAGAGUGUAGUGGUUUAGAGCAUAGGAUCUGGAAACAGACUUUCCUGGGUUUAAGUCUCAGCUCCAUCAUCCCAAAUCCUGUAAAUAUGGGCAGUUUAUUUAACUUCUCUGUGCCUCAAUACUUUAUAGGGAUAUUGUAAGAUUUUUUUCCCAACUAUUAUUUUAUUUAUAUUACUAUGCUUGUUACAAAGAAAAAGACAACAAAGCAGUUCUUCCCCAUUUCACAAAAAGUUUCCAAUCAACACCAAUUACAUGGUGAUAAAUAACUGGAAUGGUGACACCUUUGGGUCAAGACUGGCAAGGAAAAUGCUAUGGUUCAUCUCCAACAAGAAUAUGGCACAUUGGCCGGCACAGGUAAUGCCAAAACUGAGUCCUUAGUGCUCGGCCCAGAUUUGGAUCUCUUCUCUGAAGGUAGCAAAUCAGGUAAAAUAAUUGGGUUUUUAAAAAAUAAGUUUAAAAUGAAGCUCAAGUUAAAAACCCAUGCUCUUGACAUAUUUCCUUUCAAAUUUUAUAUAAAACACACUUUUCCACUCUAAUAGCCCAGAUUUUUUCUUUACACAGCCCAUCACAUGGUUGCAGACAGACUCUUCUGCCUUAAGAUGUAAACAUAGGGAAAAAUUGAUGACAUCUGCAUAAUACUCUUUCCACACUCUGCUAUUACAUGGAAAAUACAAAACUUUUUUUAAAAAAAGAAAGAAAGGUUCCAUCUUAGAUUCUCACAACCUCUUGUUCCACAGUUUAUGAACCUGACUCUGAUACUAAGUUGGCAGUGUGUGUAAGCAGAUUUUUGUUUUCAGUGAAGGAAACCUGGAAAAAGAUGGAUUGAGCUCAUUUUCUUCCAAGAGUUAUUGAAUGGUACAUGCUCCUCAAAGCCCUCAUUCUCUCUAACUAGAGCACAUUUCAGAAUCACACAGCCUUCCUUAUAAUGCUGGC
rnacentral:lncRNA from 10 species